CCUCACUAUUGGACUUGUCUACAUGUUUCCCUAGCAGUAUGAUUCUACCAUCAAUAUAUCUCAAUAUACGGAGAUGCCUGUCCACCACAUUCAUGUGAUUCAAUCAUUCAAUCAAAGGGAAGGGGCACAGCAUAUGCUUGAAUCCUAAUGGCAGAGAUUGUCACUUCUACUGUUGUCCAGGAGAUAGUUAGCCAAGUUCUAUCUGAUCUGGUUCAAAAAUAUGAGGAGAAAGAGGAAUCAAAUGUGAACAGAAACUUAGAGAGGCUAGAGAUGGCACACAUCAAGCUUGAGGUUGCUCUUGAGAUAUCAGAAAAGUGGCAAAUCACUGAUGCCUCCUUGUUGCCUUGGCGUAGGAAGCUGAAGCGUGCUGCUCAAGAAUGCGAUGAAACACUGCACAAAUGCAAACUUCGAAUCCUACAAGAUGAACAGAUGGAACAGGAGGUAAGGAGUGCCUCAAUCGCUAAACGGAUUGUGCAUGCUACCAAGUCGUUUGUUUCCUCUGUCCUUAGCUGCAGCAAUAACGAGUUGAGCAGAUCCAUUACUCAAAGGUUUGAGUGGUAUGCUGAUGGUGCUAAUGAGUUUCUGAGAUUCAUAAAGUUUGGUGGCACACCAAGGUGUCACAUGCCUUUUCACUCCCUUGUCAAGAACCUUUUUGCAGGAUUCUCCGUAUCUAAAAGCCGGGAUUCACUUUGCACCCCACCGCUCUCCGAAAGACAUGCUGCCUGCAAAUAGAAGUUCUGAAGUAGUGGCGAUAGACGGCGAGGAUAAUACUGCUUGCAUGUAGAUGUUAACUUGGAACAACCGGAAGAGAUCAUGCUUCCAA